rnacentral:rRNA from 1 species
GCUUCGCAGUCCGAGUUGUAGUCUAUAGAAGCAUGAUCCGCGCCGGCCCUUGGGCAUGUCUGUUGGAACGCAGUGUCAAAGAGGGUGAAAAUCCCGUACAUACCAAGGACGACCGUGUGCAUUGUGGUCUGCUCUCUAAGAGUCGAGUUGUUUGGGAAUGCAGCUCUAAUUGGGUGGUAAAUUCCAUCUAAAGCUAAAUAUCGACGAGAGACCGAUAGCGAACAAGUACAGUAAUGGAAAGAUGAAAAGUAGCCUGCAGAGGCAAUGAAACAAUACGUGAAACCGUUUGUAGGGAAGCGAUGGAACCUUUUCACGCUGCGAGGGUUCAGCUUGGCUUCGGCUUAGUGUAUUCCCUCGUUUUGCGGACCAGCAUCAGUUUGCUUCGCAGUAUAAGGGUGAUUGGAACGUGGCUUCUCCGGAAGUGUUAUAGCCUUUCACUGGAUGUUG